GUACACGCUGUGACUAGCAUAUCAAUAAGCGGAGGAAAAGAAACUAACAAGGAUUCCCCUAGUAACGGCGAGUGAAGCGGGAAGAGCUCAAAUUUGAAAUCUUAAAGGGUUUCCCUUUACGAAUUGUAGUUUGAAGAAGUGUUUUCUGUUGAGGUUUUGGUAAAAGUUCUUUGGAAUAGGACAUCAUAGAGGGUGAGAAUCCCGUAUUUGACCUUUACUUUCAACUUUGUGAUACACUUUCAAAGAGUCGGAUUGUUUGGGAAUGCAGUCCAAAAUGGGUGGUAAAUUUCAUCUAAAGCUAAAUAUUGGCGAGAGACCGAUAGCGAACAAGUACCGUGAGGGAAAGAUGAAAAGAACUUUGAAAAGAGAGUUAAACAGUACGUGAAAUUGUCAAAAGGGAAGCGUUUGACACCAGUGUUGUUUUUCUGAAAUCAAUUAAAGAACUGUUUAUGCUAAGCUGUUUAGACUUUAUCAGCUAACUGUUUAGUUUUGAGCUUCUCUUUAAUGCACUUUUCAGUUAACAAGUCAACAUCAAUUUCUUUCGCUGUAAAAAAGCUUGAGGAAGGUGGCUUGAGAUUCGUCUUAAGUGUUUAUAGCCUCUUGCCUAUGCAGUCGGAGAGAUUGAGGUCUGCAGCGUAGAUCCUUCGGGGCUAAAUGCAUUUGUGCUAAGUUAUAGCAUUUCAUAGACAACUUGUUGACUAUGAUUUGUCUUGUAGCUUACUCGCUUAUGUUAUUUUACCUACGCUUAGGAUGUUGACGAGACUGUCGAUCUC
rnacentral:rRNA from 1 species